UACGUAGGGGGCUAGCGUUGUCCGGAAUCAUUGGGCGUAAAGGGCGCGUAGGUGGCCCGGUCAGUCAGUGGUGAAAGCGCGGGGCUCAACUCCGCGUCGGCCAUUGAUACUGCUGGGCUUGAGCACUGUAGAGGCAGGCGGAAUUCCGGGUGUAGCGGUGGAAUGCGUAGAGAUCCGGAAGAACACCGGUGGCGAAGGCGGCCUGCUGGGCAGUUGCUGACACUGAGGCGCGACAGCGUGGGGAGCAAACAGG
rnacentral:rRNA from 1 species